UUCGCAGACCAAAGAGGGGGGACCUUUCGGGCCUCUUGCCAUCAGAAUGUGCCCAGAUGGGAAUUAAGCUUAGUAGGUGGGGUAAACGGCUUCACCUAGGCGAACGAUCCCUAGCUUGGUCUUGAGAGGAUGACCAGCCACACUGGAACUGAGACACGGUCCAGACUCCUACGGGAGGCAGCAGUGGGGAAAUAUUUGCACAAUGGGCGCAAGCCUGAUGCAGCCAUGCCCGCGUGUAUGAAAGAUAGGCCUUUCGGGUUGUAAAGUACUUUCAGCGGGGAGGAUAGGUGUUGUGGUUAAUAACCACAGCAAUUUGACGUUACCCGCAGAAGAAGCACCGGCUAACUCCGUGCCAGCAGCCGCGGUUA
rnacentral:rRNA from 1 species